UACGUAGGGGGCAAGCGUUGUCCGGAAUCAUUGGGCGUAAAGAGCGUGUAGGCGGCUCGAUAAGUCCGCUCUGAAAGCCCGGGGCUCAACCCCGGGAGGCGGGCGGAUACUGUCGAGCUAGAGUCCGGAAGAGGCGAGUGGAAUUCCUGGUGUAGCGGUGAAAUGCGCAGAUAUCAGGAGGAACACCAAUGGCGAAGGCAGCUCGCUGGGACGGUACUGACGCUGAGACGCGAAAGCGUGGGGAGCAAACACGG
rnacentral:rRNA from 1 species